rnacentral:rRNA from 1 species
GUCGAGCGGUAGCACAGAGAGCUUGCUCUCGGGUGACGAGCGGCGGACGGGUGAGUAAUGUCUGGGAAACUGCCUGAUGGAGGGGGAUAACUACUGGAAACGGUAGCUAAUACCGCAUAACGUCGCAAGACCAAAGUGGGGGACCUUCGGGCCUCAUGCCAUCAGAUGUGCCCAGAUGGGAUUAGCUAGUAGGUGGGGUAACGGCUCACCUAGGCGACGAUCCCUAGCUGGUCUGAGAGGAUGACCAGCCACACUGGAACUGAGACACGGUCCAGACUCCUACGGGAGGCAGCAGUGGGGAAUAUUGCACAAUGGGCGCAAGCCUGAUGCAGCCAUGCCGCGUGUGUGAAGAAGGCCUUCGGGUUGUAAAGCACUUUCAGCGGGGAGGAAGGCGUUGAGGUUAAUAACCUUGUCGAUUGACGUUACCCGCAGAAGAAGCACCGGCUAACUCCGUGCCAGCAGCCGCGGUAAUACGGAGGGUGCAAGCGUUAAUCGGAAUUACUGGGCGUAAAGCGCACGCAGGCGGUCUGUCAAGUCGGAUGUGAAAUCCCCGGGCUCAACCUGGGAACUGCAUUCGAAACUGGCAGGCUAGAGUCUUGUAGAGGGGGGUAGAAUUCCAGGUGUAGCGGUGAAAUGCGUAGAGAUCUGGAGGAAUACCGGUGGCGAAGGCGGCCCCCUGGACAAAGACUGACGCUCAGGUGCGAAAGCGUGGGGAGCAAACAGGAUUAGAUACCCUGGUAGUCCACGCCGUAAACGAUGUCGAUUUGGAGGUUGUGCCCUUGAGGCGUGGCUUCCGGAGCUAACGCGUUAAAUCGACCGCCUGGGGAGUACGGCCGCAAGGUUAAAACUCAAAUGAAUUGACGGGGGCCCGCACAAGCGGUGGAGCAUGUGGUUUAAUUCGAUGCAACGCGAAGAACCUUACCUGGUCUUGACAUCCACAGAACUUUCCAGAGAUGGAUUGGUGCCUUCGGGAACUGUGAGACAGGUGCUGCAUGGCUGUCGUCAGCUCGUGUUGUGAAAUGUUGGGUUAAGUCCCGCAACGAGCGCAACCCUUAUCCUUUGUUGCCAGCGGUUAGGCCGGGAACUCAAAGGAGACUGCCAGUGAUAAACUGGAGGAAGGUGGGGAUGACGUCAAGUCAUCAUGGCCCUUACGACCAGGGCUACACACGUGCUACAAUGGCAUAUACAAAGAGAAGCGACCUCGCGAGAGCAAGCGGACCUCAUAAAGUAUGUCGUAGUCCGGAUUGGAGUCUGCAACUCGACUCCAUGAAGUCGGAAUCGCUAGUAAUCGUAGAUCAGAAUGCUACGGUGAAUACGUUCCCGGGCCUUGUACACACCGCCCGUCACACCAUGGGAGUGGGUUGCAAAAGAAGUAGGUAGCUUAACCUUCGGGAGGGCGCUUACCACUUUGUGAUUCAUGACUGGGG